UGUAUCAACAAAAGUAGAAUGAAAAAUGGUUAGGUUGUUAGUUGAAGUAGGACAUAAAUGCUUAUUUGCUAACCUGUAUUUAAACCCUACUUGCACAGGGAUGGCGUGUUCUAAAAUUUAACUUCUGGCUUUCAUCAACAAUUGAAGAUUUAUAGGUUUGAAGGAUUUCACUCCUAUCAUCCAAUCACACACUGGAUUCAAAAGAAGGGAAAAGAAGAGAAAGUGAACAUUCUUUAUUGAUCAUCUAUGGAAGAAACUACUCGAGAAUCUUAUCCAGGACUAUAAUCAAGCAGAAUAUUGUAAAAGUGGCAUGUUUUAUUUUAGAAUUGGAUUUCUUUAAUGAGAAGAAAUUCUUUUAAUGCUAAAUGGCCUGAGGCAAAGACAGUAGCAUAUGAUAGAAUAAAUUCUUCGAGAAUCUGCUUGUUGACUAAUGAAAAAGGUCAUAGGCUCAAAGUCUAUAUUAAUGAUUUAUCUUUCAUGAUUCCUCUUUUCUGCCUUUCAUAAUUUGAUUGCCUGCUGAUGGAAUAAAUUUGCUGAUUGUCUUCUGAUGUGCAUCCUUCAUAUGAAUAUGCUUCACCAACUGACAACUGUUAGUUUCAUUAUAAUUUAAGUUUGAAAUCUCUGAUGCCCUUGUAAUUGCUCUAAUACUAUAUUGUUCCUUUGAAUGAACAAAACAUGCUUCUCAACUUAGUUUCUUUAUGCUUACACUCUUUGAUUUUCUAUUGGUUCCAGGAAUUGCUACCUAGAAGAUCCUUUUGGUUAUUGCAAAUAUUGUAGGUGAAGAUAAUCUUGUGAGGCAGGUGAUCUGUGAAUUUUUGCACAUUUCCCUCAUUAAUAUGUUUCAGUCAAAACAAAGUUGGUUAUCUAGAGCUAAACUAGAGUACCUGUUUUGGAGAACUAAAAUUUAGAGCUAGAGAUCUUAAGGGAUUUUGUGUUCAGGUUUGAGGUUUGAGUUAGAGCUUCUUUUAUUUAUUUAUUUUUUCCUUUGGUAUGUGAGUGAGAUGUAAAAUCGGAUUCCGGGAUGUAGACAGAAAAUGCAUCAUGCAUCUCGUGUGAGGCGGGGGCACAUAUAGACUACUAAUGAUUAUUAUUUUGCAACCUAGGUUUUAUGUUCUGUAAUGGCUGUGGCAAAGUAUGCCUUGGUUUUGUUUUUGUUUUUGUUUUGUUUUCCAUGUCUUCUUCCAUUAUUUGAGUUUGUGUUUCAGUCAGAUUGUAAUUGAGGUUCUUGUUGAUUUACUAGUGUGAAACAUUAGAAGGGAUGCCCAUCUCUGAAUAAGUUACUGCA